rnacentral:rRNA from 1 species
UACUAUAUGCUUGUCUCAAAGCCUAAGCCAUGCAAAUCUAAGAUCAAUCAUAUGCGGUUUCGGCCGUGUAUAAUGAUAGUCUGUGGAAGGCUCAUUAUAACAGUUAUACUCCUAGCCACUGGAAAGUUUACAAGGAUACCACCGUUAACUGCAGCGAUAAUACUUGUUCCCUUCGGGGUGGUAAUAGUAUUUGUGCUGAAGCCUAGCUAUUGUAACCUAGUUUUUCGGGUGUGGCAACAUAUUCGGGGGAUUAGGAAUCGACCGCUAGCAGGUGCCUUCGGGCGCGGGAAAGUGAAUUAACAAGGUUUUCAUAAGGCCUUUCAGGUUUGCUUUUUCUAGUGGCCAGGCAGAGGAGUUUCUUACCUAUCAGCUCGUUGUUUGUUUAAAGGACAAACCAGGCUUUGACGGGUACGGGGAAUCAGUGUUCGAUUCCGGAGAGGGAGCCUGAGAAAUCGCUACCACAUCUAAGGACGGCAGCAGGCGCGCAAAUUACCCAAUCUCAAUACGAGGAGGUAGUGACAAGCUAUAGUGACUCCACACCAUUUGGUGGGGAGGUAUUGUCUUUUGACGAUUUUCCAUGAUUUGGGUGUAGAUAACCCUUAGAGUAGCCAUUGGAGGAAAAGUCUGGUGAACCUUUUGUUUUUGAUGAAUUGAAAAAGCUUGAUAUUUGCAAUCACGAAUUUGGCGAAUGCUUGAUUGGUGCUGCAAAUAAAACAAAAGCAGGCUUUAAGGUUCGUUUUUUAAACAAACAGGGCUCCGAUUCGUACGUGCAUCACGUAUCUGCAUUUGCUAAUUCUACUGCUGAGAAUUGUAUUCACAGUGUAGAAAUGCUAGAAACGGUUUCUAGUAGCAAAAAGGAUAAUGAAGCAAGAACGAUUUCUCACCUUUGUGGUAAUGGAGGCUGUGCAAGGCCAGGUCAUUUGAGGAUUGAGAAGAAAUCAGUAAACGAUGAACGUACUCACUGUCAUUUUUUACUGAGGAGGUCUCAAUCUAUUAACCAAUCAGAAAUGAUUCGGUUAGCCUGUCCGCAUACUCCUAAAUGUUUUGUAAACAUUUACAAAAUAAAUACACCAUACUACUGAUCAAUUGCAUUUGUUUUAAACAGGAGGGUUCAGAGACUAGAUGGUCGUUGGCUAGGUUAUGCCUAGCUUAAGAUAUAGUCCAAACCCACUCGAUGAUAAAGAGUGUGUCAAUUGCAAGGUGUUAAUCACACCCCAGAAUUGAUGUUCGGUAGUCUUGGCCAGCACCCGCGGUAAUUCCAGCUCCAAGAGCGUAUAUUAAUACUGCUGUAGUUAAAACGCCCGUAGUAUACCUAAGAGUGGGUGUGUAGUAAUUAGUUUUAUCAGAGGACGGUUGGCGAGAGUUUAUCUCUCUUGUUUGCCUACUUUUGGUAGACUUCAGUCGGGCUGGAUCUUUGGUCCUUGUCUGACAGUUGCUACGUACUUACUUACCACGGUUCAUCCGUGAGGCCCUUGGCUUGCAACUGUAAAUAAAUCGUUGUGCUUAAAGCGGGCUAUGAUACUCUGCCAGAGCGAUUUAGCAUGGGACUGCAGAGUAGCUGUAUUUGAGUGAAGGUCGCACCUCGGUGUGGCUGGAGCUUGGUACAGCGCUUGUAAUGGAGCUCAGGGUGAGGCCCCGGGUACCAUGAGGCUAGAGGUGAAAUUCUGAGACCCUCAUGUGACCAACUAAGGCGAAAGCUGUCGUGGGCCACCACAAGCUCGUCUAUCAGGGACGAAAGUUGGGGGAUCGAAGACGAUUAGAUACCGUCGUAGUCCCAACUAUAAACGAUACCAACCGAGUAUUUGGGAAGACACUAUCCCAGCGAUCUUCUCAGAACUCAAGGGAAACCUUAAGUCUUUGGGUUCUGGGGGGAGUAUAGUCGCAAGACCGAAACUUAAAGGAAUUGACGGAAAGGCACCACCAGGAGUGGAGUCUGCGGCUUAAUUCGACUCAACACGGGGAAACUCACCAGGUCAGGACACAAGUUUGAUUGACAGGUUAAUAGCCCUUUCUUGAUUGUGCGGUGGGUAGUGCAUGGCCGUUUCCAGUUCGUGGAGUGAUCUGUCUUGUUAACUCAGAUAACGAACGAGACCUAAGCCUUUAACUAGCCGUAGGCCUUUUCCUUCGGGGAAGGGUUAGUUUGUCGGAACAGGUUUCGGCCUGUUCCAAAACCUACGAGACUUUUGUCAGCUUCUUAAAGGGACUUCAUUCGUAAACUAGGAUGAGGAAGAUUUAGGCCAUAACAGGUCUGUGAUGCUCUUAGAUGUCCUGGGCUGCACGCGUACUACAAUAACGGUACCAGCGAGCGCUAUGGUUUUAUAACCCCUUAUCCUAAUAGGAUUGGGAAAACUUUUCAAACACCGUUAUGACAGGGAUCGAGGAUUGGAACAUCCUCGUGAACGAGGAAUUACUAGUAAGCGUGGUUCAUCAUACCACAUUGAUUACGUCCCUGCCUUUUGUACACACCGCCCGUCGCUCCUACCGAUGGGACGAGGAGAUGAACCUGGCGGACCGAACCGCAAGGUAAGGGAAACCAGUUAAAUCUCUUCGUCUGUAGGAAGGAAAAGUCGUAACAAGGUCUUCGUAGGUG